GGAUAUCAGUGGCGGAUCACUUGGCUGGUGUGUUGAUGAACUAAGGACUCAGCUAACUGUGAGAAUUAAUGUAAAUCACAGGAUACAUUGAUCAUUGAUACUUCAAAGGCACUUGCAUCCCUGGGUUCCUCCCUGGGCUUAUUAAAAAAAAAUGUAA
rnacentral:rRNA from 1 species